AAAACUCACGAUUUCAAAAUUCAAACCAACCUUUCUCUGCUUAGUUCUCUCUAAAAAGUUUUGGACGAUUCCUCUCAUUCGAUUUCUCAAUUUCAUGACCCUAUCUAGCGAUGGUGUGGUGUUUAUUGUUAAAAUCCGCCGACUAAGUGUUUCAGUGGCGGGAUUCUCGAGCAGAUUGGUAGGCAACUAAGACGAGAUUUCGAUGGUAGAUGGUGAUUUAGGCAGGUUCCGACAACGCGGUUCUGAUUUAUCAGUUGCAUGUGUGUUUUCUGACAAGCAAGGGACUUUAAUGAUGGCGGUGGUAGAUGGUGGUUGUAUACUUUUAAGAGGGUUUUCUGUUGAAGUGGUGGGGGACUUCUCUGAACUCGAAGGUUAAAGGUUGCUUCCCACCUUACGAAGCAAGAAAAAUUGUAAUCAGACUUUAUGUUACCAUCAAACUCAUGUUUUUUAGGGUUUAGUGGGUUGAUUUUGCUAUUAUAUUGCUUAUCUUUGAGGCCUUUGAAUUUGGUUCUUGAUUGAGUUUUAGAUGAUAAACUUGUAAUUUUCAGUACCAACAAAAUAAAGCAAGAAAAUUUGUAAUUAGUUUGUAAUUUUUCCAAUUUUUUUAAUUCGUAUGGUUCUUGUGAUGGUGGCUGAUUAGUUGACCUAGACUAUGUAUGAAAGGGAUUUUUAUGUUUACUUGUUAAUAUUGUAGUUGAAACUAUGUGUAGUAAUGCAUUAGGAUCACCCCAACCUGAUGAUGAUAGGAGGAAGUGGACUUUGCAAGAUGGAUCUUUUCAUAACAGAGACAUUACUAUGCAUGAGGCCUUUCACAGUUGCAGGUAUUGCACGAGGUAUGGAAAUCUAGGGAUGAGCAAAUGGUAUCGGGUACCGGUUCGAAACCAGUAUCAAAUUUCCCGAACCGACUCAAUUUUUGGUACCGACAUUUUGCGUUUUCGGUACGGGUUUGGUACCGGUUUUUACAUUCAAAUAACGGUCAGUACAGGUACCGUAACGUACCGAGUAUUUUCGGUACCGGUUCCGAUACCCAUUUUUUGGGUUUUUCGGUACCGGUAUUGAUAUCGGUUGGUACUAAGCUCGUCCUUAUGGAAACCUAUAGCUGGAAUUGAAAAAGAUUUGGAACACACGGUAAUCAAAAGAAACUCUGUCAUGCAUUUUUUUCACCAACUAUGUGUAGCAUUUGGAACGCACGGUUUUCAGCGGAAAGGAUUGUAAUUCGUUCAAAGUGGUCGAAUAAAUAAAAGAAAGAACGUUCGAGCGGGUAAUGAAUAGAUCAAAACUAACGGGCAUCUCUUGGAGCGAACGGAGAAAUUUUAGUUUUGUAGUAUAAUUUGUAUUUUGAUUUGGUUUUUUGGUGAAUGUAGAUUGUAAUUGUAUAUGUCAUUCGUAGUAACUUGCUAUGUCGGAUGGUUUUUUUGGUUUAA